AUUCAUCAUGUGCUAUGUCUUCAGAAUCUCAAAAGCCCCUAUUGGAGGAUGGUUUUCAUGGUCUGUUCUGUAGCUGUGAAUAUAGACUGGCAGAAAGAGGGUGUUUACAGAAUGAGAGACAAAGCCCUGGUCUAGUGCCUCUGCCAGUCUGUAUUAAAGAAAUACAGUGUUUGUCUUGUCAAACUGUAACUGUUGAACACAUUAAGACAGUAAUGAAUCGAGGAAUUGAAAACAGUUCUAAUCCACACAGGUGCUGUUGUGGACAAUUAGCAAAGACUCAGUCUACAAAACCAGCCUGUCACAGUCCUCCUUUGUCACGGGAAGUUUGUGAUCUUUCAGUCACUCUUCAAAAUACCUGUAGAUCUCGAAGUCCCUCGCCCCCACCAUUAUCACCUGUGGAGACUGGAGGAUUGGAAAAAUGGAAAGACAUCGUCUCAGAGCUUUCAGCUGUAGAAAAUAACAAACUUGAGGCAAGCAUUAACCAGCCUCCAUCUCUUACACCUGCAGAGAUAAGCACUCACAAAUGUGGCCAUGACAGCAAACUACAUAAAACUAAGAAGUCUGGUAACACUGAUUCUGUGCUCUUGGGGACCAGUGGUAGUUAUACUGCAAAUCAUGAAAAGGGUGAGACAGCUGUAAUUUUUCAAGAUUUAAUGGACCGUAUUAAUGAAAAAUUAAAAUCAAUAGAAACCACAGAUAUAUCUAACCUCAUAAAAUUAUCUAGUACUGAUUGUGAUUCAGACAAUGAUUUUAAACUGGGAGAUUUAAUAACAUCUCUCUUGCACAGUGCAACAGCCAGUGAUUAUAGUUUUAUGGAACUGCUGAGUCAACAUGAUAAAAAGGUAGAAAAUAAAAUUAUUCAGACAAGGUUUCGAAAACGUCAACAAACGUUACUUGCAAUACACAACUCUCCUGAUUCACCAGUGAUCAGAAGGCAAUCUUUACAGAUAAAAAGAGAACUUGCCAGUUUUGAUGAAAACUUUCUGAGAAGAAGGUACAGUGAAAAAAAUUCAAGAAAAUUAUCAUACAGUGAUAAGAUGCUUUCAGUGAACAAAGAAGAAUUCCAGCCUUGUCAAGAGCCUUUAAAAAUUUCAAAAAGCUUUCAAAAUGAAAAUCAUGAAGAAACAUUUACACCAAAUGAGGUAGCACCAUCGAUUCAGGUGCCUCUUGGGAGUUUAGAAACUAACUUGGCUCUUGAUCAAUUUUCAGAAAAUUUUAAAGCAACUUCAUUUGAGAAAAUGAGCCAAAGAAAAUCACAGGAGAGAUCUACAGCUGAGAAACCAACUGUACAAAGUAGUAGGGAAAAUACAAAACUAGAAAAUACUCCAACACUUUUGAGAACUGAUGCUCCUCUUUUGAGCAGAACUAAACGAAAUAUUGUGCCUCCAGGGUGGUAUUCCAUAUAUGUAACAAACGAUUCUGUUUCUAAAAAAUUCCUUGAGGGCAAAAGAGUAUCUGGCUCUGCUCACAGAAAAGAUCUAGGAGAUCCAACUGAAAGUUUUCAAAAUAUAGACUUAAAUAAAAUUGCAAUGAAUUCUAGUUUGCAAGUUGUUGUGGAGCGUUUAGAAGAUACAAUAAAUAUGGCUCAAAGGUCUUGGACUAGUCAAGAAUUAUCUGAAGGAUGUAAAGCAUCCAAAAAAUUGAUAGAAGCAGGUGAUAAAGACCAAAAUGCUGGGAGAGAUUUGACUUUAAGUAGAAUGGCUUGUAAAAAUCAGGGUUUAUCAAAAUCUGUGUUCGCAUCUAGCAGUAAAAGAAGUCAUGACAUGUCUGUCAUGGAUUUGAACAAGACACUUGAUAAUCUGAAGACAUCACCCAUUUUAGAGAAAGGUAGCUCAACAGCCAGUGUUGAAAGUUUGCCAACAAAAUGCGAAGGCAUUGAAAGUUCUGUUUCUAACUAUUUUAGUCCUAUCAAACUCAUGUUUUUAUCUGAGAUUAAAAGCAGUGAAGGCGUCAAAUACACUUUGACUUCCGUCAGCACAUCACAGUCAAAUGCUGAUUUUGAUUCUCACAAACAUAAAAACCAUCAGAUAACUGGAAGAAAAAGAGAAACAACUGAAGAUACACCAAACACUAACUUGGAAGAUUAUAGUUCUAAUCAUCAUGUUUCAAACCUUCAAAGUGAAUUGAACCAAUUUAACUGUGUACUUGAGGCUACACCAUCAUCUGCAGAGUUUACUGACAAUUUAAACAAUGAUAAGCCACAAGAAGACCCUAAGGAAAAGUCAAAUGGUGCUGUUGAUUUACCAUAUAAAAGAAAACCAGGUAGACCUAAAAAAAUCGGUCCCCAAGUUGUGAAGCAGGUUAAAAGGCCAAUUGGAAGACCACCAAAACCUAAAGCUGGUCAAACAAAUGUCAGUGUUUCCCAAAAUGAAUCUUUUAACCCUAGAAAGGAAAAUUCAGAGUCCUUCUUAUCAGAAGUCAAAGAUGUUUGCAGGAAGAGUAUUAUUGUCACUGUUGUUUAUGGAAGGUCAAGAAGAACCAAAAGAUGUGUUUCUGAAGGAAGCACGAACAUCAGCAACAUCUCACUGAACAGUGAUGUCUCUGACUUUUCAGUUAACUCUAGUUGUCUCAGAAAUACUAAAGCUCAUGAGAUUGGCUCUGGUGAAAGUCUGAGUGCUGGCUCAAGAUUGACAACUCAAAGUGGGGUUUGUGAUUCUGACUUUGAAUAUAUUAGACCUAUCAAGAGCAAGUCUAUGAUACCUCAGACUUCCAAGAACAUUAUUCGACCAAACCAAAAACCUUUAUCAAUUGUUAGGAAGCCUGGUCGACCUGCAAAAGUGAAAAUUUCUGGUAUAUCUGUGACUGUUAAUAGAAUUUCACCUCAGGAAAGAGAAGUAUGUAUUAGCAGCUGCUUACCUCCUUUAGAUCAGGAGAUAAUGUUAGAGAAAACUUGCCUAGAAGAAAAGCUUGACCAGCAGUGCAGUAAUGUGGAUAACAUCAAGCACACCAAUGUUGACAUAUUUAAGAAUGAAUCAAAUAGUACUGUUGUUUCUAUACCUCCAAAACAUUCUAUUAGGGCUAGAAAACCUUCUUUGCAUUUCUUACAUUCAUUUGCAUCUUCUGGCUCACUUACUUACAAAAAUGCUCUCCGUCAUAAAUCAUGUAAACUCCAUUUGCAUAAAUGCAAAAAUCCAAAGAAAAAAUACAGGCAGUCGGGUUUUAGACUAGCUUCCAAAGGUAUCCCACGAUCUAGAUGUUCAAAGAAAGCAAAAAAAUAUUUGGAAGAUAAAAAAUUAAUGCCCAUUUCUGAAGUGUCCUUGGACCCUGUAAUUUCAUCCAACCCUUUACUAAGGUGGUGGGCUACUUCUGCUUCAAAUGAUUCCUUGUUAGAGGAAUUAAACAAUAGAUUUGAACAAAUAACAAAUGCGUGGGUACAGGUGAGUAAAGAUGAAGCUCAAAAUUUUGUUCAUAAAACAGAAUACACUAAAGGUGAUCAUUGCGAAGCAGCAAGCCCUCUGGAAACUUGUCUUCUAGAACUUGAAGUUUCACCUGUAAAAAUGCUUUUUCAGAAAAAGUAUAAUUUGAAUGAACUUUGUACCUGGUUUAUGCAAACAACAGAAACACAGUCCCUUUCACUAGUUAGAAAAGCAAAUGCUCGAAACCCUUUGGAAGUGAUAAGCACCAAGGGCAUUAAGUUAGGGGUGAAAUGCUGUGGAUUUAAUGCCAGCCCCUUCAGGAAGCACUUUAAAAAAUUUGCAGUCUCUUCUCCUUCAAAACCAGCUGGGAAAUUUCAUAUACUACAUAAAAUGGUUGGCUCACCACUCUUAAAUGUGAAAAGUAAUUUAACAUUAGCAAGGUUGAAAAGGACUGAGUUUAAGAAUUUGCACUGUGAGAGGUGGAGAAGAGAAGAAAGGCCAUACAGCCACAGAACAGUUGAUUGGAGCUCAAAAAGAAGGAACUUAAGAUUGUUCUGCCAGAAUCCAUCUUGGACUAACUCAGAGGGGCAGACAAAUGCAGAGACAUCACUCAAUGGGAAAGGCACAGUAGGUAACCAGUGGGCCUCACCCCCAGAACCCAGAGUCACCUUUGCUAAAAAGAGGGUGGCAGUACAUGACUUCAGAACACAUGCUAGUUUAGAGAGUAAGUUUAAUGGAACAGGGGGUGGCCAGACUGACUCUGAAAAGGAACAAAUAAUGGAAAGUGUAUCUUCCCAUAAUUGGAGGUCAAAAACUUUAAAAGACUGUAGAAUAUUUUUGAGGAAGAUCAACUGUCUUGAACACAGAAACACUUUUAAGCUAAAUACAAUAAUUUAUUCUCCUGAAUCUGUUGACAGUGGAGGUAGUCAGGCACAACCAGAAGAAUCAAAGCGUUUUAGUUUAAGGUCCCAUUCUGCAAGGCAAAAUUCCUUUAAAAAGCAAAAUGAAGAAAGAGCAAAUCCCAAAGCAAAUAGUCCUGCAAGUAGUAGAUUGACUGGUGAGCUCGACAGCAGUCACUUAAGUAAGCAUGUUAACUUUGACAAGAACCCCGAUCAUUCUGAGGCUCUUAGCAAAUUAAGCAAAAGAAAAAGACCACCAUGGAAGACCACAGAAAUGUCAGCAAAAAGGCAUAAACGACAGUCUUGCAACAGUGGACAAAUGGCAAACUAUUGUACAAAAUCCCAAGUAGGUAAGUUGUUCUCUCCUUCAUUUUAAAGUUUCAUUGUAGGUGCCUUGAGUCAACCAUAAGCUAGUGGGUAGAAAAGGAACAGCUAACUACAUUCUAAUUUAUUUCUAAAAUAUUUGAACAACUUAAUUUCUUGGCACCUAGUAUGAAACUCCUGAAAUUAGGUACUACUAGAUGUAGUGCACUUAACCGCUAAGCUUCAGCAUUCAAACACAAGCAAAUACAUUUAGAAGAGACAUGAAGAACAUUGUGAAAACAGGCCGUGAAUGUAUUUGGUAGGUGACUGUGAAAAGCUAAUUAAAAAUUUACUGCAGGCUAAUACUGGCUCACUCUCAAAAAUACCAACCAUGAGAACAUACAGAAAACAGCUAAAGUGGUCUCAUUAGAGACUAACAUUGUAAUCCUAAGGUGUAAAUCUCCCUCAUUAAGCUGUUACUCUAUUUGAUACUGCUUUGAAAACGUACUGCAAGACUGCUUUUUUAGAAGGUGGUAUAUACUAAUUUUUUUUCAAUGAUCAGCAAGUAUAAUAAGUGGACUUUUAUGAAUUAGAGCUCACUUGUGCAGAUAGAAAGAGGAGGAUUCCUUUAUGGAGCUGAGCAAGUCACUGUUAGGGUCAUUUCAGAUUGAGAAUGGAAUACGAAAUUAAGUGAUGUACCUUAUUAAGAUACACUGACAUUUCAAGGCCAGCCUGGUCUACAAAGUGAGUUCCAGGACAGCUAGGGCUACACAGAGAAACCCUGUCUUGUAAAACCAAGGAGGAAAAAAAUAAAGAUACACUAACAUAGCUUCGGUACUGAUGAAUGUAGUGAUAAUAUGAGCAUGGUAGUUGCCUGAAUAGCCGUUUUUCGUCUGCUUAUUUGGUAGGUACUAAACAGUGCAGGAUAUUAGGUAGGAGACUUUACAGAUUCCAUCUUCACCACGAAAGAAUGCCAAUUUAUAUAUUUAGGAAAAAAGAAUAUUUUAUGGCUCAUGUUCAUUUUUAUAUUUGUAUAACUUAGAAAAAUCUUUGGGGACUUAGGGAAGUAUUAGUGUCUUACUAGAGUCAAUAACAUCAGGUCUCAUUAAAAUAUUAAGCACAAUAAUUAAGUUGAAGAGUUUUAUAUAGGCUUUAUGUGUACCCCCACCCCCAGGUCAGUUAACUGAAUAAUUUUAACAUGCAUACUCCAGUACUCUGUAACAUAUAAUGAUAAAAAUUUCAAAUAUCUGGCAUGAAAAAUGCUUAAAGGAGGUCAAAGUAGACUCUCCAUUACAAAAGAUGAAUGGAAACUCUGAAGAAUAACUUAGGUUUGAUCCUCAAGAAGGCUAAAAAUAAUAUUAUAACAGGUGCUUCAUCAGGAAUAUACCUACUAGCAAAGUUUUAAAAGCUUGUAAUUCACCUAGAACAUGUGUACAAGUUUCACGAAGAAUAAAAUAUAGUUUCAUUUUACUUGUGUUUCAUUUUCACCUCAUGCUGUUGCAGACGUUCUAAAGUGAUUUCACUGUGCAACAGAACCGCAUUUUAUCCUUGCAGCUUCCUACCCAUUGUACUUUCCUAACAAUCAAGCACAGUCUCAACUUUAAUAUUUCUUCACCCUGUCAAAUGUAAGAUUCCUAAGAUAGGAAGAUGACAGAUAUUUAAAUAUCACUUUUGCAAAUUGAUUUUAAAAUCCUUUGUGAGUAUUUUAAAAAUUAGUAACAUAUAAAGAAUUGUUUUUCACCUUUUCCAUUUUAAAAUUUGCUAGUGCUGUUUGCUGUUCUGCUUGAAGUUUAUUCAUCUUUACUGAUAACUUUCCUUCUUUAUUUUUGACAUUUUUUAAAUCAACGAGAUUAUUAUUUUUAGUUAUAUUUAUAACAAUAUUUGUUACGUUUAUGUGAUUUUUAAAUGUUUCUUACAGUGUUGUUGUGUUUUUUUUUUCUCUCAUUAUCUUUGGUAGUCCAUGCUUCUUUUUGCCUUUUUGGAAGUAACACUAAAACUCAUCAUUAGUUUUAUAUGUGUUUUUGGUUUUCAUAUAUAAUUAGUGACUGAAGACGUAAGACUGUUAACUACAGGACUUCUCUAGACAAAUUCUGAGGACAGUGUAUAUUAUAAAUUUUGGAAUAUUUCUAUUUGUGGAAAAUAAUUGUUUCUAUACUGAAUGUCUUGCCUCUGUAUAUACUAACUGUCCAAAUAAGAUUUAAUACAUAAGAUCUUGCUGCACCUGCUGCACUCUGUGUUAAAUGUAGACAUGGGAAGAAGGCAAAUGCAGUUCUAUACUAUUGUACUUCCCCUUUUGAAGGAAUGGCUACAGUAUGUUCUCAGUGUGGAAGGUCUAGGACGUUCCAGUUCAUCAACGGGAGAAAAUAUGUACACAUUCAUAUAAAGUCAUUAUUAUUAUUAUUAUUACUAUUAUUGUAAGCACGAUACUUCAUGUUUGAAGGAAACAGUGAUUAAUGCCACAGGUUUUGCUCUUAGGAAGCAUAGAAAAGUAAAUACUACUGAAUGCUGAGUAAUAUGACAGAAAGAAGAUACCUGGAGGGACAUGAAGGAUUUCAGAUUUAUCCAAUACUGUUGCUUAUAUAGUGAGAAUUAUAAGAAUCUCAAAUACUAGAAGGUAAAAAAUGGUGGGAGAGGUUCAAGUAGAACAAAUUUCAGGCAGAAACUGGAGGCAAUAAAGAUGGCUCAUUUGGAACAUUGAGUAAUUUCUCAGAGCUAAGGUACAAAAUGGAGACUGCAGUGGUCAGUCAGAUAUAAAAUAUCAAAAGACAGAAUCACUGGGAAGGCACUGCUCAAAUGCUGAGGCAACAUCAGUUAAUCGCGGGGGUGGGGGGUGGUCUAAGCCCUAACAGGAAAGUAGGAAAGAAAUUUUACAGAAGUCUAUGGAAUAAAAAUCACAUCUUUUUUUCCUCCUCUUCUCUCAUAAAGUACAUCCCAACAGCAGUUUCUCCUCUCCUGACUCCUCCCAGUCUCCUCCCACCUCCUCUCUUUCAAAGAUCCACUCCUGCACUUCCCUUCAAAAAGAAAAAAAAAGUGCCAGACUCCCAGGGACAUCAAGCAAACACAGCAUAACAGGUUACAAUAAGACCAGGCACAAACAUAUCAAGGCUGGACAAGGCUCAGGCAAGAGAGUCAACAGUAGCACCCACUCCCACUGUUAGGAGUCCCACCGGAACACCAAGCUACAGGACCAUAACAUAAGCAGAGGACCUAGCUCAGCCCCAUAAAGUCAGGGUCUUAAUAGAACACGGGAAUGAAGGGAAACAUCCAGAACUUUGCCUUGAGCAUCAAGGUUUUAGCUUUAAAGGUUUAGAUGAAAUUGGUAUGAUUUCUUUAAAAAAGAUGUCAAAGAAGCCG